rnacentral:siRNA from 1 species
ACCUUUUCUAUUUAGUUCAAGUGA